CAGGGGACGUGGAUAACCUCGGGAAACUGAGGAUAAACCGCGAUAGGUCAUCACUUCUGGAAUGGGUAAUGACUUAAAUCUAUAUGGCCCCUGGAUUGGACUGCGGCCGAUCAGGCUGUUGGUGAGGUAAUGGCCCACCAAACCUGUAACCGGUACGGGCUCUGAGAGGAGGAGCCCGGAGAUGGGCACUGAGACAAGGGCCCAGGCCCUAUGGGGCGCAGCAGGCGCGAAACCUCUGCAAUAGGCGAAAGCUUGACAGGGUUACUCUGAGUGAUUUCCGUUAAGGAGAUCUUUUGGCACCUCUAAAAAUGGUGCAGAAUAAGGGGUGGGCAAWUCUGGUUUCACCCGCCGCGGUAAUACCAGCACCCCGAGUGGUCGGGACGUUUAUUGGGCUUAAAGCAUCCGUAGCCGGUUCUACAAGUCUUCCGUUAAAUCCACCUGCUUAACAGAUGGGCUGCGGAAGAUACUAUAGAGCUAGGAGGCGGGAGAGGCAAGCGGUACUCGAUGGGUAGGGGUAAAAUCCGUUGAUCCAUUGAAGACCACCAGUGGCGAAGGCGGCUUGCCAGAACGCGNUCGACGGUGAGGGAUGAAAGCUGGGGGAGCAAACCGGAUUAGAUACCCGGGUAGUCCCAGCUGUAAACGAUGCAGACUCGGUGAUGAGUUGGCUUAUUGCUAACUCAGUGCCGCAGGGAAGCCGUUAAGUUUGCCGCCUGGGGAGUACGGUCGCAAGACUGAG
rnacentral:rRNA from 1 species